rnacentral:lncRNA from 1 species
AAUUGAUUUUAAUUAAGUGCAACAUAAACUGUAGUUUGUUGAUCGAGGCUUGAGAAAUUAUAAUUUGAGAAGUUUUAAGGCUAAUUUGUGUAAAAAAAAUUCACUGGUUUUGCAUUUUUGCAAAAGAGAUAAUUUUCUUAAAUUUUACUCACUAGAUCUGAAUUUUUAGUAAAUUAAUUAAAUUAUCUUUAUUCUGCUUUCUUUCUCUCCUUUUACUGUCUUGUUUGUUUUCUUUUUCUUCCUCUUCGUCUCUCUUCUUCUUUUCCAUCGCCUCCAUGUCAACGACUCAAUGCCGCACUCCUCUCUCCUAUCUCCCCCACAU